rnacentral:misc_RNA from 1 species
GAUGAAGAACGUAGCGAAAUGCGAUAAGUAGUGUGAAUUGCAGAAUUCAGUGAAUCAUCGAAUCUUUGAACGCACAUUGCGCCCCUUGGUAUCCCGAGGGGCAUGCCUGUUCGAGCGUCAUUUCACCACUCAAGCCUGGCUUGGUGUUGGGCGACGUCCCCUUUGGGGACGCGCCUCGAAACGCUAGGCGGCGUGGCACCGGCUUUAAGCGUAGCAGAAUCUUUCGCUUUGGAAGUCGGGGCCCCGUCUGCCGGAAGACCUACUCGCAAGGUUGACCUCGGAUCAGGCAGGGAUACCCGCUGAACUUAAGCAUAUCAAUAAGCGGAGGA